AUUGAACGCUGGCGGCAGGCUUAACACAUGCAAGUCGAGCGAGCGGCGGACGGGUGAGUAAUGUCUGGGAAACUGCCUGCUGGAGGGGGAUAACUACUGGAAACGGUAGCUAAUACCGCAUACCAUCAGAUGUGCCCAGAUGGGAUUAGCUAGUAGGUUGGGUAAUGGCUCACCUAGGCGACGAUCCCUAGCUGGUCUGAGAGGAUGACGAUCCACACUGGAACUGAGACACGGUCCAGACUCCUACUAUGACCAACAGGUUUAAAUAUUGCACAAUGGGCGCAAGCCUGAUUCAGCCAUGCCGCGUGUGUGAAGAAGGCCUUCGGGUUGUAAAGCACUUUCAGCGAGGAGGCGUUACUCGCAGAAGAAGCACCGGCUAACUCCGUGCCAGCAGCCGCGGUAAUAC
rnacentral:rRNA from 1 species